UUCAUCUUCGUGAAGGAUAGGUGCACUUUCUUCUUGAUCGGACCACGACCAGCGACUUGUCUUGUCUGGCAUAGGUGGAAGGUAGCGUUGACUUCGGUGAACGUGUUAUAGCCGCUUAUUCGGUAUGAGCAAGGCGUUGGCUGCGAUGUUGGCGCUUGCCCUUCGGGCUCGUACGUUGUCUCUUUCAGGCGUGUCGCCGACUUCACUGCCUUUGGCAGGGGUGUUGGAGACGUGUCGGUUAGCGGCGGCCUCUGCGAUUGGCGUCGAGAGUCUGUGGUUGUGAAGUAGGCAGUCCACCUGACCCGUCUUGAAACACGGACCAAGGAGUCUAACAUGUGCGCGAGUCAUUGGGCAAUACGAAACCUAAAGGCGCAGUGAAAGUGAAGAUCCAUUUUGUUGGAUUGAGGUGGGAUCCUGAGUCACGUGCUCGGGCGCACUACCGGCCCGUUCGACAUGUCUUCAUGCGGGCGGAGCAAGAGCGUACACGUUGGGACCCGAAAGAUGGUGAACUAUGCUUGCGCAGGUCGAAGCCAGAGGAAACUCUGGUGGAGGACCGUAGCGAUUCUGACGUGCAAAUCGAUCGUCAAACGUGAGUAUAGGGGCGAAAGACUAAUCGAACCAUCUAGUAGCUGGUUCCCUCCGAAGUUUCCCUCAGGAUAGCUGGCACUCGGGAAACGAAACAGUUUUAUCCGGUAAAGCGAAUGAUUAGAGGUAUUGGGACGAAACUGCUCUCAACCUAUUCUCAAACUUUAAAUGGGUAAGAUGCACGACUCGCUCAAUUGGAGCCGUGCUUCCUU
rnacentral:rRNA from 1 species